AGCUACGGCCGCAUGGCGAGUUGGAUACACCCGAUCCCUCAAUCUUGGAAGUUAAGCAAUGCACAGUCUGGUCAGUUCUUGGAUGGGAGUCCCCCAACUAAGGACGACCGGAUGCUGUAGCCU
rnacentral:rRNA from 1 species